rnacentral:rRNA from 1 species
AGUGAACGCUGGCGGUAGGCCUAACACAUGCGAGUCGAACGGCAGCACAGUAAGAGCUUGCUCUUACGGGUGGCGAGUGGCGGACGGGUGAGGAAUACAUCGGAAUCUACUUUUUCGUGGGGGAUAACGUAGGGAAACUUACGCUAAUACCGCAUACGACCUACGGGUGAAAGCAGGGGAUCUUCGGACCUUGCGCGAUUGAAUAAGCCGAUGUCGGAUUAGCUAGUUGGCGGGGUAAAGGCCCACCAAGGCGACGAUCCGUAGCUGGUCUGAGAGGAUGAUUCGCCACACUGGAACUGGGACACGGUCCAGACCUCCAAGGGAGGCAGCAGUGGGGAAUAUUGGACAAUGGGCGCAAGCCUGAUCCAGCCAUACCGCGUGGGUGAAGAAGGCCUUCGGGUUGUAAAGCCCUUUUGUUGGGAAAGAAAAGCAGCAGGUUAAUACCCCGCUGUUCUGACGGUACCCAAAGAAUAAGCACCGGCUAACUUCGUG